rnacentral:snRNA from 1 species
UUGCUUACUUUGGCAGCACAUACACUAAAACUGGAGUGACACAGAGAAGAUUAGCAUGGUUGUUUUACAAAGAUGACACAAAUAUUCAUGAAAUGUUCUAUAAUUUU